UACGAAGGACCCGAGCGUUAUCCGGAUUUAUUGGGUUUAAAGGGUGCGUAGGCGGCAUUUUAAGUCAGUGGUGAAAUACUUCAGCUCAACUGGAGAGGUGCCAUUGAUACUGGGAUGCUUGAGUACUGAUGAGGUAGGCGGAAUGGACGGUGUAGCGGUGAAAUGCUUAGAUAUCGUCCAGAACACCGAUAGCGAAGGCAGCUUACUAAGGAGUAACUGACGCUGAGGCACGAAAAGUGUGGGGGAUCAAAACAGG
rnacentral:rRNA from 1 species